rnacentral:tRNA from 1 species
GGAGUCUCAGUGCGUAGAGAAUCAGACUUAUAAUCUGAGGGUCCAGGGUUCGAGUCCCUGUUCUG